GUGGCGUUUUCAGUCGGUCUUACUAACAUAGGACAUGUUGGACUGUUUGAUACUGAAAUCACACUUAAGUUAAGUAAAGUCUUCACCAAUAUCAGCCAGGCCUACAACCCAACUACAGGUAUCUUCACAGCCCCAGUCAGAGGAGCCUACUACUUCACAUUCACCUUGUGGGACAACCAUAGUUCAGCUUGGAUGGGUGCUAAUCUUUAUCACAAUGACAAGAGAAUCAUGUACAGUUUAGACGGCAAUGACAGCAUUGGAUAUGUCACUGUGUCUAAUGCUUUAAUUCUUCAACUAGAAAAGAGGGACGUGAUCUACACGACUCUCUAGUCAGACUACGUUGUUGCAGAUGAGAGUGACAAUCCCACCUUUGAUGGUUCUCUGCUUUUCCCUCUGUGAAUGCAGCUGUAAAGUACCCACAGUUAAUAUUACACAGUUUCAACAUUACUAUGUUAAAAAAUAUAAGCAUUUAUAAAAUCAAAAUGACUUUUCUGUGUUUUUGUCUGGUUAGAUGAAGAAGACUUAACAAGUCAUAUAACAUUCUCACCUAAACCAUAAAAGAAAUACAUUUUAUAAAGAAGUUAACUUUAACUGUUAAACCCAUGUUAGUGAAUGUGUCACAUCUUGCCUGGACUUUGUUUGUUUUUCUGGACUUUUUGUGUUCUUUGGGGUUUCCUGUGUUUCACUUCUGUUGUCAGUCCUUCUGGUCAUAUGAUUUUGCUUGUUAUUAUUUGGGUGGUGGGUUAGAGGACUGCAUUAUUUAGUUUAUAGUGUUGUGUACUUAAGCUUAUGUAAUUCUGGGAUGGUUUGAUUUAUGUUGGGUUGUGAUUUAGAAUAUUGUAUUUUCUGGGUUUUGGUUUUCUGUUGCUCUGUGUUUCCUUGUGUGUUCAUGUAAUCUUCCACACUUGCCCUGCAUUAGUCCUGCCCUGCUCUGUUUUCCCCACACCUGCCCUGUUAGACUCAUCAGCCCUGCCCUGCUCCCUGUGUUUCCUGAGCCAAUCGGCUCUCUGUCUGUUCACUCCCCUCUCCUGAGUUCUCCACCCAUCUCCCCACCUGCACCUCAUCUCCUCGUUAGUUCAGUUACUUUGUAAGUCCUGGUUUUCUGUUCAGUAUUUGUUGGAUCAUUUGUUUUGCCCUGUUCAGUUUGUUCUGUGUUGCCCUGUUCUGUCCUUUACCGCUUUGAGAAUAAAGAAGUUCUUUGUCAACUCUGCAUGCCGGUCUCUGCAUUUGGGUCCAUUCCUGCUAUUCUACACUCCAUGACAGAAUGACCACAACUCCCACAGUGACACUCUGUGGAUCCAUCUAUGCACCUUAGAGCUUUAUAUAGUGCAGUAGAGUCUUUACAUAUUUGGACAGUACAUGUUUUUUGUUGUGUUGGCUUUGCUCUGCAGCAGUAUUUGCAAUAAAUUCUUUAAAAACACACAUUAAUACACAUCAGAUGAACCAUGACCCAGUUGUAGCCCUUUACAACCUGAGUCUGGGAAACAAACAUACACACUUUUGAAAGAUCAAAGACUGAAAUUGCUCUUAUCAACUGUUUAGUCCUCAUGAUCAUUCAACAUUAAUGUACUGUGGUUUUUUAAGGAUUCACUAUAAGUGAUUUUAUAGAAUAUCAUUCUAACUAGUUGUUUGCUUUAAUUUCAGUUCAGUGUUCAAGGGUCUUUGGUGUUAUUUUUACAUUUGUUAUCAGACACCUGUUUAAUUCUCAUACAGCAGUUCAGUGACGUUUAUGUGUAUAUUAAGACAGGAGCUGAGGGACACGUGUCAGACUGCAUCUUGCUGUCUAAAGAGGGAGGUACAGGCACUUGCACAGAUAGACCUCAAAGGGGGGCUUGAGGACCUGCCCUUUUGGCCUUCUAGAGAGAAAGUUCCCCCUUUCAGGGGUGUUUUUUUUAAAAUAGAUAAAUAAAUUCUUGUUAUUCCUGCUACAUCCAGCGUGAGACAACAAUAUACUCAGUAUCUCAUCUUGUUUCUGAGUGUCACUGACAGAGAAUUUAUAUUAGUGUAUGUUAGUGUUAAUAUUUUACCGUGAGGUAAAGUGACUGUAGGUGACAGAACGUGGAACGUGUGUGGAGCUAACAUUCAGUGUGGGGAGGGGGACUAUUAUUGUCAUCACACAUCCAAUGCAAAAUGACUAUGGAUACUGUCAUGUAACAUGUUUCUCCAAGUUGUUUAAGUCAGUCAUAAAGUUGUGAAAAAGGUUUGCAUCUUUAUCCCCCAAAAGCUACAAGAUAACAACGAUGUAAUUCACUUAAGA